UUUGUUUCACACACGGGGUUUGGUGGCGUAGCUUAUGCAAUGGCAAUUAUUUGUAUUAGACUAGGUGCAGAAGCAAACUUCACAGCAAAGAUUCCACAAACGUUGGUUGGUACAGAGUCAUUUUCUGUGCAUGAAGGGAACUUACCUUCUCAAUCCUGUGAUGAAGAGACACUCAAGAUGGGCGAUUACCAUGACAUACUAAGUCUUACAAGAGUUCUCAUGUAUGGUCCAAAGAGCAAAGCAGAUGUUGACAUUAUUAUUGACAAGUGUGCCGGUGCUGGGAAUUUACGUGAUGAUAUUCUAUAUUACAGCAAGGAACUCAGAAAGUAUCCA
rnacentral:misc_RNA from 1 species